GUAAGAAUUUUUGUUAAAACAAUUUAAAACUUCAUUGAAAUUAUCAACAGAAUGUGGAGGAAUGCUGUAACAGUAGCUAGCCCCAAAGCUCCUGUGCUAACACUUCCGUUGUAAUCUGAGCUUCCAGCCUGGACCGCUUACUGCACAGCUAACUGAGCUAACGGCAGCUACAGUUGGCAGCAGUUAGUGGUUUCUCCUUCCCCUUGUUUGUUAUGAGUAUGCACUCAACAAGUGGCCAAUUCUUACAUAUUGCACCUUCUUUAAGGCAGUCGUUAUGUACUUCUAUUAACUUCUUAGUGCGACCAAUUCACAUUCUGUAUUUCACUCUUUUGUUAUGCAGAGAUCUGUGUAUGCAGUAUGCCUGAAUACAUGUGUAUGUGUGCUUGGUGUUUCAGCACUUGUGUGCUGUAGUUCACCGUGUGUGGAUGAAAAAGGCAGACAAAGUUUUAGCCCACUGAAAAAACAACCAUUGGCUUUUUUUGCUAUUCUGUGAAGUCUGUCAUCAAACUGAGCGAAGGCCCAUGUGAAGGACUCUCUGUGCUCUAUUCUUUCAAUAAGAGUUUUUUUUUUUUUUUAUCUUCCACUCCACAAUAUUUUACUCCUGCUUCUUGGCCGCCAUGUCUGUUAAUUGUUAAUGCGGAUGGAUGAAAGGGUGAAGGAGCGACUUAGUUCCGACAACAAAGGUGAACCCUGCGACUUCUACAAUGAAUAAUAAUGUGUCAAAGUGACACUGAUCCCUGCAGAGAAAUUCUCUUUUCUUGAACCCCCGUCAAGGAGAUCAAAGUACAGGGCGAGCUGGAAGAGUAUCUUUUGAGUUCUUGGGGAUUCGGUGUCUGGCUAAUGGACAAUUCAGAAGGGCAGGUGCUCGUGGACAUGGGACAUAAAAAUCUCAUGAACAUGAGACUUCCAGUUGGACGGUUACCAAGCCACCAGGCCACACAUACUGUAUUUUCUUCCAUUGUUCUGGCAGCACAGUCCAGACUUUUUAAUUGGCAUUUUCUAGAAAAGACAUUGUUCACCAACUUACCAAAGCUUCACACAUGGACUAUAUAUAUUUAUCAAUGUAAAAUUAAAGGAAAACAGAAGAAUCACUUAACAUCCAACCAACAUGCACCUACAAGUACACCUGCCCAGCCCAGCCCAACCCUGCUGAAAACACAUUAUACUUGAAUAUCAUUAUAUCAUCAUCUUUAACAGCUUCAGCUGCUAGGGGUGGUAGUUUGGGCCCGCAGGUGCUACACAAGCUAUGAACAGGGUGUGGAGAAAAAACAACAACAUAUUUUUGAAGUUAUUUAUUAUUUCAGUAUUAAUGUUCUAGCCCUCAUAGUUACAUGUUCGUCCUUUGCUUCUGUGUUCUAACCCAGCAGUCUGACUUUCCUGUUCUUGUGACGUUUGCAUUUCAUCAACUCAAAGACUCCCCGUCCUGUUGUCACUAGGCGCCAGUUCCAUUUGUCCACCUCUUUGUCUUACUCUUCACUUCACAAUGUGUUCCGCUGUCUUUGUAUUCCCGUCUUCUUCAUCCCCUUUCCCCUCUAAAUAUUAGAUGUCUCCACUCACUCGCUUUUAAGUAAAAAAAAAAACAACUUCAUUUUGCUUUGAUUUUAAAAUGACAUAGUCCUCAAUUUUCCUGUCAAGUGUGUCUAUGUUGUAAAUAGAACAAUGUAAACAAAAUACUAAUGCUGAAUAAAAAUGACAUUUUGUUUGCAGAGAUGAUUGAAACUUCUUUCUCUAAUUGGAUUGUCUUUAUUUUUUUGAUAUUGAUUGUUGCAUGUUAUCAGUACAGCUGCAUGGCAUUAUUGAACAGACAGGCGCGUACAGACCCGAUGCGGCUGAUGUCAGUGCUGCCAGUCUCACUUUGAUACGGGAUGUAUAGGCUUUCUGUCGGGAAUUGUUACCAAGCAGCGUGAGGUUUUGUAGGUAUCAAAUGGUAGAAUCAUCUAAAGUAGCCAACUGAACACACACACACGCACACAUGCGUGUGCACGAACCAGCCGGAUAGAUAGGGUUAUCUAAUGAUGUAUGCUCGUGCUGAGUGAGGCUAAGGUAACAAAACCCCCCGGCCUGGUACCCUGCCUCGCUCGCUGGCCCUGUUAAUUAUUCACACUGCCUGCAGGGGCCUGCAGACCUCACAGACACACACACACACACACACACACACACACACACACACACACACACACACACACACACACACACACACACACACACAUACAUACACGCACGCACACUCCAGUCAAAAGCAUCUGCAGGUAUGUUUAAUUUACGUUCUUGAAGUUGUUUUCUUUUGUUGUCACUGUUGGCCAAAUCGGGCACUGUUCUGUUAACUGAGACAGGGAAGGGGGGGGGGGGGAGAGAAUGGAGGGGAAUGGAGGGCAGGUCUCCGCUGAUGGGGGAAUCUGAUAUCACAGACGGCGCAGUGGACAUCAUUCAUGACAUCCUCCAUUCAUUCUCCCCGCCGCUCCUCCCUCCUCAGAUCCUUGUAAGUGCCUAUUAACUACCUUUUCCCCCUUCACCUCAAAGGACAAUCAUCAGGAGCAAUUAACCACAUUGUGUUGGACUAAGUGGGAUAACAGUGUGGAGGGAGAGUCCUCUGUCUUUGCACAAGAUCUACAGUAUGUGACGGAUUUGCAAACACUUUGACAACAUGGGCAUGCUCGAGUCCUGCACACUGUUGUUCAGGGUCUUAAUGUGACAGCAAGGUGAAGAGGAUGUAACGUGUGUGUGAGGGGUGUUGGACCAGGAUGUUGGAGCGGUUGUGUGUGGGUGGGUGUGUGUCUGUGAUUGACUAAGGGUGUAGUAGCGUAGUGAAAGUGUUGACUUGGCUUGUGUGAGCUUAGAUGAAUGAUGCCCUUCCUUCAGGUUUGUUCAUCUCAAUCAUAGCACAUAGAAAGUAUGCAGCGGUGGAAGAAGAAGUAGUCCGAUCCUUUUUAAAAGUACUCAUACUGCACUGUGCGGAUACUUGAUUACUAGAAAGUCCUGCGUGUAAAACCUAUUGAAAGUAAAAGUACUCAUUCAGGAUGUAUUUUAUUUAGAUCUAGAUUUUUAUGACUGCUGUGGAUACUUUCAAAAAAUUCUGGGAGAUUUUCAAAUUUCUGUUUCUCUUAAGAAGAGCAGAAUUUUCUGAACUCAUAAAGAACACUUGAGAUUUUCAGUCCUUUAUUAAUCAGAAAUUAUCUCAAAUGUGGAGAUGCAUGCUGUUCAAACCUCCAUGUAAUCGGAAAUGUAUUUGAGAGGCUUUAAUGCUCCUUGCCCUCCUACACUUGGGGAUUGUGGGUCAGGUAGGUGUAAAAAUGACAUUUUAGGUAAGUUAGUUGUAAGUGUUUAGACAUUUCUCGUAAUCUGACAGUAAUCAUGUUUAUGAUGCUACUAUGAAUGCUUACACAUGUAAUUAAUGGUAAUUAGCAUUGUAUAAUCAUUAUAACAGCCUUACCACCUAUUGACUAAUACUUAUUACAGUACAAGGACAUUAGUAUUACUUACCCUCAAUUAUACACUGAUAUGUGUAAAACCGGAAGCCAAAAAGGUACGAAACCACUUGUUUAUUCUAUUUCAAAAGCUUUGUAAAAUUGUCAUCCUAAAAGUACAGUAAUGAGUAACUCAAGCAGUUGAAACAUUGCAGUGGAGCAGAAAUUCACUUGUUACAACAGCUCAAGAUGCAACAAGUACAGGACAAAGAAUAAGACAAAUAUGCAGUUAGAGUUAUUGUAAAUAGAAAAUUAACAGAAAAGUAAGAUAUAAUAAUAAUAAUAAUAAUAAUAAUAAUAAUAAUAAUAAUAAUAAUAAUAAUAAUAAUUAUUAUUAUUAUUAUUAUUAUUAUUAUUAUUAUUAUUAUUAUAUAAUAAGAGAUACACUUCUUUACUUAAGUACAACACUUGAGUAAAUGUACUUAUUUCACCAGUGUAUAUAAUGUAUAUAUAAUGGAAAGAGAGUGAGAAAGAUCUGUCAAGAUUGAUGAUUUCAGAGGAUGAAUCUCUCAUGAGAUGGACCUGAUGCGUUGCUGGAUUGUCCCCAAGCUCCAACAUUCGCAUUCUCACAUUUGAAUUGUGUUGCAGCGGAACCACGUGAAAAAAAAAAAAAAAGAAACAGUCUCGCUCCCUUGAACAAAAAUAGCCCAAAUCCUCACAUGUAUUUUGGGAUUUGGCUGCUCUUAUUACAGCAGAGCGAGGUGCUACAGUACGUUUGCUCCUCAAGCUAAAAACGUUUGCUUUCCUUUUGCCGAAAAGCUCGUGAGCCUCCCUCAAGAUGAGGACCGCCGGAAGAAACCUCCAGUGCCUGUAAUGAGCAGACACAUCAUCAGCACCAAAAAAGGGCCAGUGACAGACUUCUCUCUGGUCUGCUUUUACUCUUUGUCUUUCAUCGACUUUCUUUGGUCUAGUGAGAGGUAGACAGGAGAAUCAGGUUGGGAUCAAUACAGCUUCUCUUUGAUUAAAAAAAAUGGUCAGUGUCUCUAGUGUCAUAAGUGCCCAGAAGAGAGAGAACAUGAGACUGAAACCGUCAACCAUCCUGCAGGCUCCUCUCACGUCCAGCAGAGGGUAGUAGUAUUCCAUUAUCAGGUCCUCCGUUCACCUUGCAAGUCUCUCUUUUUGUCUCUAUUUUUCUGCCUAUUUUUCUGCCCACACCUCUACCCCUUUGACCAACAGUUGAUGAACCUGUUGAGCAGAGUUUAAGAAGACUUCUGAUGCAAAGAUCGUGCAACAGUGAGUGUGUGUUUUUGUGUUGCUUCCCGCAGUGGCGGUGGGCUGCCGUUGUAAUUCAGGCCCAGCGUACAUCCAGCUGUAACUCCCAUUAUAUCUGCCUCAGACUCUCUGGUCUCCAGCUCUGAAUGACAGAUGUGGCCCCGGCCAUCUGUGGAGGCCUUGGUAAAAUUCAAUUCAAACAUCAGAGGCCUUCAAGAGCCGUGUGUGUGUGUGUGUGUGUGUGUGUGUGUGUGUGUGUGUGUGUGUGCGUGUGUGUGUGUGUGUGUGUCUGUGUGUGUGUGUAAGAUUUUAGAUGAAAGUUAAAUGAUCCGUGUGGAGAAACAGAAGCCCUGAGCAGGCCAAAAAAAAAAAAAGGAGAUGAAUGGGGGUAAUAAAAUAUUUCAACAUGCAAACUUAAUUGACACGUGCUGAAUUUGUGCUUGCGUGUGUGUGUGUGUGUGUGUCAGGGUGCUGGGGAUAGAUGGAGUCCUGUCACCGUGUCACCAUGGAGAUAAGAGAAGCCUGACAGCGAGGGGAGAGCGACUGACAGCCUUUAUAUCAAUCAUACUGACUUAUAUCAGCGUGUGUGAGCAUGUGUAUGCGUGUGUGUGUGUGUGUACGUCGAGGGGUUAGGAAAGGGCAUUACGCUGGAAUCAAAAAUAAAUCAAUGUCAUGUGGUUUCGUGAGUCAACAGCUGUUGUCAGUUUGGCCUCACCUCUCGCCCGUAAUCUCUAAACUCCAGUGACCACACGCGCGCGCGCACGCGCGCGCGCACACACACACACACAUAUGAUGCACUGACACACAAACAGACAGAUGCCACUGUGUGUCACCCAUCUCUAAGUGCCUGGACAACACCCAGAAGGAGAGAGUUGUCCAAAUGUUGUCCUGGCACAAAACACAAAAUCUACAUCUUUCUCUCUGCUCUGAUUUGUUUUCUGCCUCACUCUGUGUCUACUCUCAUUUCUACUUCACCCCCACCUCUCCUUCCUCCUACAAUUUCUUCCUACUUUUUCACCUUCCCGUCCUCUCCCUCUCUCUGUUCUGUACAUAUUCACUGCCUCCGAACCAAAAACCUUGUCCAACCCGGAGCCUCAGUGAGUCUGUAAGCUGAUGCGGCGUAUCUGUGAGGAAUUGGGAAUUCAAUUGGAGAAAAUCGGGCUUUUGAGUUUUCAGCCAGAUAUUUAAUUAUGGGAGUGAAUUAUAGCUGUGUCGCUGCGGGGACACAGAGGAGAGGUAAUGUGACUAAGUAAACAAUAAAUAAGCACUAAAUGAACACAAAGUCUAUGCCGGGCUCGAUAAGAAACAUAACACCGGCCUCUCACGCUCACUUUGGCCAACAAAAUCCAGCUAACUUCCACCUUCUCAAACUUUGAAGGUUUUGG
ensembl:lncRNA